GGAAUUAUUGGGCGUAAAGAGCUCGUAGGCGGUUUGUCGCGUCUGCUGUGAAAGCCCGGGGCUCAACCCCGGGUCUGCAGUGGGUACGGGCAGACUAGAGUGCAGUAGGGGAGACUGGAAUUCCUGGUGUAGCGGUGAAAUGCGCAGAUAUCAGGAGGAACACCGAUGGCGAAGGCAGGUCUCUGGGCUGUUACUGACGCUGAGGAGCGAAAGCAUGGGGAGCGAACAGGAUUAGAUACCCUGGUAGUCCAUGCCGUAAACGUUGGGCACUAGGUGUGGGGGACAUUCCACGUUUUCCGCGCCGUAGCUAACGCAUUAAGUGCCCCGCCUGGGGAGUACGGCCGCAAGGCUAAAACUCAAAGGAAUUGACGGGGGCCCGCACAAGCGGCGGAGCAUGCGGAUUAAUUCGAUGCAACGCGAAGAACCUUACCAAGGCUUGACAUUCACCGGACCGCCCCAGAGAUGGGGUUUCCCUUCGGGGCUGGUGGACAGGUGGUGCAUGGUUGUCGUCAGCUCGUGUCGUGAGAUGUUGGGUUAAGUCCCGCAACGAGCGCAACCCUCGUUCUAUGUUGCCAGCACGUGAUGGUGGGGACUCAUAGGAGACUGCCGGGGUCAACUCGGAGGAAGGUGGGGAUGACGUCAAAUCAUCAUGCCCCUUAUGUCUUGGGCUUCACGCAUGCUACAAUGGCCGGUACAAAGGGUUGCGAUACUGUGAGGUGGAGCUAAUCCCAAAAAGCCGGUCUCAGUUCGGAUUGAGGUCUGCAACUCGACCUCAUGAAGUCGGAGUCGCUAGUAAUCGCAGAUCAGCAACGCUGCGGUGAAUACGUUCCCGGGCCUUGUACACACCGCCCGUCAAGUCACGAAAGUUGGAACACCCGAAGCCGGUGGCCUAACCCCUUGGGGAGGGAGC
rnacentral:rRNA from 1 species